AUUGAACGCUGGCGGCAUGCUUUACACAUGCAAGUCGAACGGUAACAGGCCUUCGGGUGCUGACGAGUGGCGAACGGGUGAGUAAUGCAUCGGAACGUACCCAGAGGUGGGGGAUAACGCAGCGAAAGCUGUGCUAAUACCGCAUGUGAUCUGAGGAUGAAAGCGGGGGACCGAGCAGCAAUGUUUGGCCUCGCGCCUUUGGAGCGGCCGAUGUCGGAUUAGCUAGUUGGUGGGGUAAAGGCCUACCAAGGCGACGAUCCGUAGCUGGUCUGAGAGGACGACCAGCCACACUGGGACUGAGACACGGCCCAGACUCCUACGGGAGGCAGAAGUGGGGAAUUUUGGACAAUGGGCGCAAGCCUGAUCCAGCAAUGCCGCGUGCGGGAAGAAGGCCUUCGGGUUGUAAACCGCUUUUGGCAGGAACGAAACGGUGUCCGCUAAUACCGGGCGCUAAUGACGGUACCUGCAGAAUAAGCACCGGCUAACUACGUG
rnacentral:rRNA from 1 species